GACGAACGCUGGCGGCGUGCCUAAUACAUGCAAGUAGAACGCACAGUUUAUACCGUAGUUUGCUACACCAUAGACUGUGAGUUGCGAACGGGUGAGUAACGCGUAGGUAACCUGCCUGGUAGCGGGGGAUAACUAUUGGAAACGAUAGCUAAUACCGCAUAAUAUUAAUUAUUGCAUGAUAAUUAAUUGAAAGGUGCAAUUGCACCACUACCAGAUGGACCUGCGUUGUAUUAGCUAGUAGGUGAGGUAACGGCUCACCUAGGCGACGAUACAUAGCCGACCUGAGAGGGUGAUCGGCCACACUGGGACUGAGACACGGCCCAGACUCCUACGGGAGGCAGCAGUAGGGAAUCUUCGGCAAUGGACGAAAGUCUGACCGAGCAACGCCGCGUGAGUGAAGAAGGUUUUCGGAUCGUAAAGCUCUGUUGUAAGAGAAGAACGGGUGUGAGAGUGGAAAGUUCACACUGUGACGGUAUCUUACCAGAAAGGGACGGCUAACUACGUG
rnacentral:rRNA from 1 species